rnacentral:rRNA from 1 species
GACGAACGCUGGCGGCGUGCUUAACACAUGCAAGUAGAACGGUAAAGCUUUGCUCUUGUGGGGUGCUCGAGUGUUGAAAGGGUGUGUAUCACGUGAGUAUCCUGCCCUUGACUUUGGGAUAACUUCAUUAAACUGGGUCUCUUAUCGGAUAUAACCUCCUGCUUCAUGGUGUGGGUUGUAAAAUUUUGGCGGUUGGGGAUGGACGCGCGGCUUAUCAGCUUGUUGGUUGGGUAGUGGAUUACCAAGGCUUUGACGGGUAGCCGGCCUGAGAGGGUGACCGGCCACAGAGGGACAGAGACACGAGCCGGACGCAUUCGGGAGGAAGCAGUGGAAAAUAGUGCAAGAAGGGCGGAAGGAGGAAGGAGCAUCGCCGCGUGCGAGAUGACGGCCGUAAGGUUGUAAACCGCGUUAGCCUGUGAAGAAGAGUGAGUGACGGUAAUGUGUAAAGAAGCAACGGCUAACUACGUG